UACGUAGGGUGCGAGCGUUAAUCGGAAUUACUGGGCGUAAAGCGUGCGCAGGCGGUUCGCCAAGUCAGGUGUGAAAUCCCCGGGCUUAACCUGGGAAUUGCGCUUGAAACUAGCGGGCUUGAGUGCGGCAGAGGGGGGUGGAAUUCCACGUGUAGCAGUGAAAUGCGUAGAGAUGUGGAGGAACACCGAUGGCGAAGGCGGCUUCCUGGACCGACACUGACGCUGAGGCGCGAAAGCUAGGGGAGCAAACGGG
rnacentral:rRNA from 1 species